ACACAAGAAAGGAGAAAUGCUGUCAAUCAAUGAUGACAGCUGAUCCACUGAUUGAGGGACAGUUUUACAUUUUUAACUAACACCGUAACAGUUGUACGGAGACUGAUGAGAGCUGAUUUCUGCUCAGCGGACGUUUGGCCAUGCAGGUCAGGUGACCCAUGAGAGGAGCGCGCGCGACCUACUGCUGCUGGUCCGUGAAAGAAACACAGGAGGACGGUCACACACAGAGUAGCAACGACAAAAACGCUGUGAUCAGUCGAUUGAGAUGUAUGACUGGUUGCUGGCCCUUCCCUGGCCACCCCUAUAAAAGCAUCCUGGCUUCGCCACUGGGCCCAAGGCAGUCGCCUACCCUGCCUAAUGGAUCCUGUCAGUUAGCAUAAACACGAAGGGCUUUUGAUCACCCAAAGUGAAGGU